AACAAAUGGAAAGUCACAAUUUUUUUCUACAAUGCAAGCAAAAAUCCUCUCAGUGCUGGAGGCUUUGAAUGAGAAUCUGAACUAAAUAGCAGUUCUUCGUUGCCUGCCUGAUGAUUCACAAAAGAAAGAAAGAAAGAAAGAAAGAAAGAAA